CCUACGGGUGGCUGCAGUGGGGAAUAUUGCACAAUGGGCGAAAGCCUGAUGCAGCGACGCCGCGUGAGGGAUGACGGCCUUCGGGUUGUAAACCUCUUUCAGCUCCGAAGAAGCGAGAGUGACGGUAGGAGCAGAAGAAGCACCGGCUAACUACGUGCCAGCAGCCGCGGUAAUACGUAGGGUGCAAGCGUUGUCCGGAAUUAUUGGGCGUAAAGAGCUCGUAGGCGGUGUGUCGCGUCUGCUGUGAAAACUCAGGGCUCAACUCUGAGCUUGCAGUGGGUACGGGCACACUAGAGUGCUGUAGGGGAGACUGGAAUUCCUGGUGUAGCGGUGAAAUGCGCAGAUAUCAGGAGGAACACCGGUGGCGAAGGCGGGUCUCUGGGCAGUUACUGACGCUGAGGAGCGAAAGCAUGGGGAGCGAACAGGAUUAGA
rnacentral:rRNA from 1 species